ensembl:lncRNA
CGGAGGGCGUGCCUGAGCAGAGGGCGCCCACUCUCUGCUUGCUCUGAAACAAGCUGCAGGAGCCAGAGAGACUAGACAAGGGUGUGUGUUCUUAGGAAGAAAAAGCUCCCAGGUAGAAUGAGGAGUGUGGGAGCAGGAUGGACAAGGCAGCGAGAGGGGAAAGCCUGGGCUUUGGAGCCAACAGACACCUGGUUCUACUCCCAGGGCCACCUGGGGCCAGCUGUGCAGCCUCAGGGACCAGCUAGACAUCUCUGGGGGGCCAGGUUCUCAUGUGGAAACUGGUGAUGGGUGCCUUCCUCAUCAUGCUGUCGUGAGGAUUAAAUGAGGUGUGGCCUGGCGUCUGAGGGAGAGUGGGGGGAAGGUGUUCACUUGGCAGCAUUCCCAGACUGUGUGAGGGGAGUAAGACCAGGGUGCCAGGCUCCAGGAGCAUCCUCCCUCUGAGGGGCUGUCCGUGCAGCGUGACCUCACCGCGCCCUAGGGCAGCCUCCAGCCCCUCCUGAUUAGUAGCUCAAGGCUGAGAGCCCAGCUGCCCGCAGACUGUCUUUACUCAGGCCCAAAGCCAGCGCUAACCCAGUCGGGAGGAAGGACGUGGCUCAGGAGCCCUCACGGAGUUAAUGACGGGAAAGCUGACGGGAAGCUGGAUGGAGGCGUCAGGCUGCCAGAACCCAGCCCAGCGCCCUACUGCAGACAGCUGAAGUCAGGCCCGCUGGCUCAGGAUCCUGCAGGGGACGCACUGGGGACACGCGCUGCUCGGCUCCAGCCAAGGGACGAAUCCAGUGCCAGGUCUUACACUUGUUCAAGAGAAAACAAAUGUGAAGUGUUGAGAUCUAACCCCAUUCCUUCUCAAACCCUGCAUGGACCAAAUCCGGCAGGUGCAGGCCAGACUGUGUCCCCGUCCUACAGGCUCUGAGCGAUGGGUGCCCCUCACCACAGAGACCAGGAUGAGGUAUGAAGUCAUUCAACCUCUACAGCAUCCUGUCAGCUAUGUACACUAUUGCUCCCUUUUACAAGUAAAGACCUGAAGCCACAUCAUGGUUAGAGGGACUCACACCAAGUGACAGAGCUGGGUCCGUGGAUCUCCUCCACACCACAUCUUGUACGUCAGUGGCUGGUAGUGCACAGCUGCACACUCAGACACCUGUGUCUUUGGCCUUCAGAGGUGUGAAGUGGGCCUGGUGGGUGCCCACAGCUGGGAAACCACAUGACUCCUAGAACAUGGGAGUCCUGGGCACCAGAGCAUCCACAUUCCUUCAAUGACAUUUUUUAGGAGUGAAGGAAGUGGCAGAAGAGAAAAUCCAUACAGGGGCUGUAUGCCAAGUGAACAUGUUUCCAUGCGAGAGCAGUCUCCCCCCAUCUCAGCGCUGCAGGUCAGGCAAGACAGAUGGUGUCCGAAAACACCUACAGAAGCGCCAUAGCCUUUCACCUGGGCUCCUGGGCUGUGGCUGCCUGAAACCUCUCUUAGCUUAAAGUUUGGUUCUUCUUCCCUUUCUUCUUCUUGUCAUGAAAUUAAACAGUGUGUUUUAAUUCUAAAGGACCCAAUCCAUAUGGAUUUAUUUUCUUAGUCACAACUGAACUCUAUCCUAUUU